CAUGAUCCUUAGACGAAAGAUGGUUCUGCUAUCGCUUUUAGAUGGACCCGCGGCGUAUUAACUAGUUGAUGGGGUAACGGCCUACCAAGGUGAUGAUACGUAGCCGAACUGAGAGGUUGAUCGGCCACAUUGGGACUGAGACACGGCCCAAACUCCUACGGGAGGCAGCAGUAGGGAAUCUUCCACAAUGGACGCAAGUCUGAUGGAGCAACGCCGCGUGAGUGAAGAAGGUCUUCGGAUCGUAAAACUCUGUUGUUAGGGAAGAACACGAGUGAGAGUAACUGUUCAUUCGAUGACGGUAUCUAACCAGCAAGUCACGGCUAACUACGUGCCAGCAGCCGCGGUAAUACGUAGGUGGCAAGCGUUGUCCGGAUUUAUUGGGCGUAAAGGGAACGCAGGCGGUCUUUUAAGUCUGAUGUGAAAGCCUUCGGCUUAACCGGAGUAGUGCAUUGGAAACUGGAAGACUUGAGUGCAGAAGAGGAGAGUGGAACUCCAUGUGUAGCGGUGAAAUGCGUAGAUAUAUGGAAGAACACCAGUGGCGAAAGCGGCUCUCUGGUCUG
rnacentral:rRNA from 1 species